AUCCAGCCGAGGUGUCAGAAACAGGACGAAACGCGAGUCCUGGAU
rfam:Schistosoma curassoni strain Dakar, Senegal genome assembly, scaffold: SCTD_scaffold0000581